rnacentral:rRNA from 1 species
CACGUGGGCAAUCUGCCCUGCACUCUGGGGACAAAGCCCUGGAAACGGGGUCGUAAUACCGGAUAUGACCGUCUGCCGCAUGGUGGAUGGUGUAAAGCUCCGGCGGUGCAGGAUGAGCCCGCGGCCUAUCAGCUUGUUGGUGAGGUAGUGGCUCACCAAGGCGACGACGGGUAGCCGGCCUGAGAGGGCGACCGGCCACACUGGGACUGAGACACGGCCCAGACUUCCUACGGGAGGCAGCAGUGGGGAAGUUUUCCGCAAUGGGCGAAAGCCUGCGGAGCAAUACCGCGUGAGGGAAGA